rnacentral:rRNA from 1 species
GGUUACCCGCUGAACUUAAGCAUAUCAAUAUGCGGAGGAUAAGAGACCAACAGGGAUUGCCUCAGUAACGGCGAGUGAAGCGGCAACAGCUCAAAUUUGAAAUCUGGCGCCCUUGGGUGUCCGAGUUGUAAUUUGCAGAGGAUGCUUUGGGCGAGGUGUCGGAUUGUUUCGGACUUGAUGUCACAGGCUUCCUCGACCUUCAAUGAUCAUUUUAGAUGAUGCCCGCCUCCAAUCUGCUUCUUUUUAUUGUCUGUGUUCUCCUUUCCUUCUGGUCCUGGGGGUCUCUUGCCCUCGGGCCAGUUUUACUAGAUCUAGCUGACUAAUAGGGACUAGUCCCUUCUGGGACCGUCCCUGGAAUUGGCCUCAGCUCCCUGAAUACCGGGUAUAUCCCCAUUCUUGGGGAUUGUGUCCUUGCUACCAAUCUGACACGAGGUGCCUUCCGAGUUUCCUGGAACGGAACGCCAUAGAGGGUGAGAGCCCCGUACGGUGUGGCACCGAGCCUCUGUAAAGCUCCCUCGACGAGUCGAGUAGUUUGGGAAUGCUGCUCUAAAUGGGAGGUAAACUCCUUCUAAAGCUAAAUAUCUGCCAGAGACCGAUAGCGCACAAGUAGAGUGAUCGAAAGAUGAAAAGCACUUUGAAAAGAGAGUUAAACAGCACGUGAAAUUGUUGAAAGGGAAGCGCUCGUGACCAGACUUGGUGCGGCGGUUCAGCAGUCCUUCUGGGCUGUGCACUCCGCCGCCCCANGCCAGCAUCAGCUGCCGGUUGGGGAAAAGGCGGUGGGAAUGUGGCCCUUCGGGGUGUUAUAGCCCGCCGUCAUGCCCUUCCGGCGGUUGAGGAUAGCGUCUUGCACGGAUGCUGGCGUAAUGGUCCCUAGCGACCCGUCUUGAAACANNNNNNNNNNNNNNNNNNNNNNNNGCGAGUGUUAGGGUGUCAAUCCCCAGCGCGAAAUGAAAGUGAACGGAGGUGGGAGCCUCGGCGCACCAUCGACCGAUCCUGAAGUUUACUGAUGGAUUUGAGUAAGAGCACAGCGGACUGGACCCGAAAGAAGGCGAACUAUGCUUGGAUAGGGCAAAGCCAGAGGAAACUCUGGUGGAGGGUUCUGACGUGCAAAUCGAUCGUCAAAUCUGAGCAUGGGGGCGAAAGACUAAUCGAGCCUUCUAGUAGCUGGUUUCCGCCGAAGUUUCCCUCAGGAUAGCAGUGCUAAUUCUCAGUUUUAUGAGGUAAAGCGAAUGAUUAGGGACUCGGGGGCGCUAUUUAGCCUUCAUCCAUUCUCAAACUUUAAAUAUGUAAGAAGCCUCCGGUGCUUGGGUGACCGGAAGCAUUAGAAUGUACAGCACUAGUGGGCCAUUUUUGGUAAGCAGAACUGGCGAUGCGGGAUGAACCGAUCGCGGGGUUAAGGUGCCGGAGUGGUCGCUCAUCAGACACCACAAAAGGUGUUAUCACAUCUUGACAGCAGGACGGUGGCCAUGGAAGUCGGAAUCCGCUAAGGACUGUGUAACAACUCACCUGCCGAAUGUGAUAGCCCUGAA